rnacentral:lncRNA from 1 species
GUCUUUCUUCCACCCCUCCAGGUUAAAACAGUAAUAUUCACUGAAUCAUCUGUUCAGAAUCAACCGGUGCCAAAGUGGGUUGUAGCUGUAAGCAUAGCAGCUGGAAUCGUGUGUCUCAUAGUUGUUAUUCUCGUCAUGUGGAAGUGCGGUUUCUUCCGCAGGCGGAUGAAGGAGGAGAUGGAGAGAUUGAUCCAAGAGAAAGAAGAGCAGGAAUCUCUCAACCCUGAUGGUCUUCUUAACGAAGCAGACUACGAGGAUGAUAACUUUAGAUCAUACUAGUUUAUUUAUAAAUCAUGACUUUAAGAUCACUAUGAAAGACUUUUAUGUGAGUUGCAGGGCCCUCAAGGUGAAAAUUGUUGAUACUGACAAGGCUACUCUAAGUAAACAAGACAUACUACUAUUUUUUAAAUUUUAUUGUUAUUGUUUUCUUUUUACCAUUAUUACUUUUAUUUGUAUUAUUAUUAUUAUUAUUAUUAUUAUUAUUAUAAUUAUUAUUAGUGCCUCUGUGAUGAUUGCAUCUCAGUCAAUAUCUUACACAAGUCAGAUUCCUAAAUUUAAGCUUAGACCCAUCUGUCUUGUACCUACAUGUAACCCUGGACCCUACACUUAACCUAAAAUGAUGAUGAAAUACUUGAUAAGAAGUCUUGUUGCUCUUACGAUUCCUAUUUUGACAUAUUGACAAAUAAAAUAGACUUCUGUGUUUUUAAAUAUUGCUUUUUAUUUAUAUGGAUGGAAAAUGAUAGUAGGAACCCAAUAUGCGUUUCAUUACUGGUAAUAACAAGAUAUUGUAUUGCCCAUGUAUUUACCAUCAUACUCAGCGACUAUGCUUGGCUAACAAUUUUUACAUUUUUAGCCCUGGGUAGUGUACCGGUAGUAUUUUGAUAUGUUGCUCAAAACAGUGGCAAGAAUAAGUGAAGAUAUUUCAAGCUCAUUCUAAGUCAAUGGACCAUAUUACUUAGAUUGAUUUGGAAUUAAUUAAAAAAAAUUCUCUGCAGUUUCUUUUCUGGAACAGCCGCAGCUUGUUAGGAUUAUGCCAUACAAAGCAGUUUGGGGGAAGAGGAUUAGUUGAUUCAAAAUAUCAAGUAUUGAUUUUAUAACUUCAUAAGUUGGUUUUGACUUCAAGUUGGCUUAUGUCAAAUUUGUUACUGAUUAUCAUGAGAACUCUCAUUGGUUUAUAAAUAUAUUUGAUAUCGUCUUUUUGAAGCCACUAUGGCGUGAACUCAUUUUACACAGCAUUAGCGUCCUCCUGGCUCCAAACAGACAAUUUUGUAUGUCAUUCCAGUAGAAAUAGCAUAGCAGUAGUAGAAACCUAUGCAAUUGCUACCUUCCUCUCCCAAACACUGGACAUAUGCAUGUAUUUGUUCGAUUUUUUCAUUAUGAAUUUUUAAGAAGAUUGUUUCAUUUUUGUUAUAUUUAAGAGGGCCAUCAACGCUUGAUGAGUAAGGUGUACCAUAUUAUGAACUUGCCAGUUACACAGUAAUACAUGUACAUGCUAAGAAGUAAUUUUUUUAUGAAAUAUUAGUUUCCAAGAGAGUGAAUCAGUCGUUCUACCGAAUGCUACAGAUAAAAUAAAGAUAAAGAUAAAGAUAUUGUAUAUUUAAAAGACCACAUGUCAGUUAAGUCGCUGUGUAGGAAAAGGAGAUGAUGCUACAGUGGAAACUCAUUACAACGAGGACACAGGACCAGAAAAAUGUCCUUGUUAUAUCAGGUAUCAUGUUAUAUAAGAUUUUUUUGAAAAUUAAAAAAAAAAACAUGAAAGAAAAUAAAGAGCUGGACCUGAAAAUUGUCCU